rnacentral:lncRNA from 1 species
GCCAAGAAGGGGACACUGAACUGCAAGAACCAGCCACGUGUGUUCCCUCCCGGCCGUCUGCUGCCAGGUGUGAGCGUCUGCAUCAGCACACCUGGCUCAGUCUUUGAGGUCCCGAGGAAAUCUCUGCUUCAAGAACUGCUCCGCCCACCGCCUGGCGCAGCAGCCCUUCCCUUCUGGGAACCAGAGCUCUCGGAGCUCUCGUCGGUGCGUUUCACAUCUCAACGAGCAUCUCCGUCCCCUACUGGGCUUCGAGGCCGACGCUGUCACCUGUCGUUUUCUUCUCAUCCUCACAGCAUCUGGCACCACCCCAGAACGCAUCGUGGGUCCCAGGCAGCUGUAAGCUGAGGGACCUUUGAAAUCGUCAGCCCUGUGGGCUGGGGGCUUCUGAGCUCGGCCCGUGAGAAUGUUCGAGCCGGAGGCGGGGAGGGCAGAGCGAUUGGCUUCCAAACAUGUGAAGACAGCAGCCCAGGUCUAAACGCGUGAUUGAUUGUCUCCAUAAAGCAUGGUGUGUCGAGCGUCAGCUGUGUCUUAAUUUAACUCUAAGAAGGUUCUGUUUAAAGCGCAUUCACCUGCCCGUCAGGGGAUGAAUGAUUAAGCAAACUGUGGUUUACCCACUAAGCAGAAUAGGAUUCAGCCACAAAAAGGAACCACGUACUGACGCAGGAUGAACCUUGAAAAAUGAUGCUUGGGCAAAGAAUCCGGUCCCUCGAGGCCACAUAUUGAAUGAUUCCAUUUAUAUGAAAUGUCCAAAACAGGCAAGUCUGUCGAGACAGAGGGCAGAUCAGUGGUGAGCGGGGACCAGAGCCACAGGAAUGACGAGCUCCUGCUGAGGGGGGACGAAAAUGUUCUAAAAUUGGUGGCGGUGUUGGUUGCACAACUCUGUGAAGAUACUAGAAGCCAUUGAAUUGGGCACUUUAAACGGGAGAAUUGUAUGAUACGUAUUAGAUCUCAAUAAAGUCGUUCAUUAAAAGUACA